AUCGCUCCAACGCUCAGCGCCCAUAAUUUGCUCAACUUCCCAGCUCCAUCGCAGCUAAAGUUGAGACUUCAAAGGCCAAAAAAAUGUCCAGAGUACCAAAGACAUCAUCCACCUGUAAAAGAAAAAUAAUGAGUGUCCCUGUUCGAUAUACUAACACCUACCAAUAAUUUUCACUUUAGUUGUGGGAAGCUGCUGCUCCUAGAUGCAAUCCACUGAAGACUCCAAAAGAUCAUCAAGGCCAGGGAAAACUCCAGAGUACCAAGGAAAUCAUCCACCUGUAAAAGAAAAAUAAAGUAUAUCAAACAGG